rnacentral:misc_RNA from 1 species
GCGAAGAAAAACAAAUAUGGCCGGUAUAUGAGGAGUCUGUUAAAUGUACAAUAAAUUUACGUUAUAUUGAAUUAUUGCGGACGGUUAGGUGACAUCACAGGUCUUUAACAUUUAAGAAGAACAAUUUUGUGUAAUUGGAAAUGUUUUCUAGAGCUCAUCUCCUAAUAGAGAAGGAAUACAAAAAGCUUCUUGAUGAUCAACCAUGGGGUAUAGAAGUCAUUCCCCUGCAAGAGGACAGUAUUUUUGAAUGGGUGGCUAAAGUUAAGGGAUUGAAAGAUACAUUAUGGGAUGGUGGAAUUUUUAGACUGUACAUUAAGUUUGAUGAACAUUACAAUAUACGGCCCCCAGAAGUUUGUUUUCACACGAUUCCUUUUCAUCCUAAUGUUGAAAUGAUAACAGGAAGACCUUGUAUAGACUUCUUAGAUGAUUUUUCAAAAUGGAAAGAAGGCUACUCAUUAUCUUUUAUCCUUGUAACAAUACAGCAUUUACUGUCAAAUCCAAACUUAGACAGCCCUGUCAAUCAGGAGGCUGCUGAGAUGCUGAUACACUCUCCCAAAGCUUAUAAACAAAUGGUGCUUGAUUGUGUCACAGCCAGUCAGAGGGUGGAAGCUGGAGUUACUCCUCAUCAAGACCUUGAGUCUCGGGUUCGAUUUGCCACCCCUGACAGGAAUAGGAAACAAUACACAGGAACUGCUAAGACAGCUAACCCCCCUGUCACCCGUCUGUCAUUUGAUGACUAUUUCAUGACAUGGAGUGGAAUUGCUACAUCUAAACCUACCAUAGAGACCCCAAAUCCACUAUUAGAGGCAAUCAAAGAUAAACCUGGAUUACAGAGAGCCCAUUUAGGAAUUCCACAAGAAGAAAUCCAAGAUCAAAUGAAGAGACAGCUUGAGGAACAUAAUGCACUUAUGUAUGGAAACUUCAAAAUGAAAGCUGAUGUUGAAGAAGAAAAGGCCGCAAAACUUGCAAAAUUAAACAGAAUGAAAAAAAUCUACUUACCACCCAGAUUGUCUCCAAGGGCAUGUGUUGUUGGGUGUAGCACUGGAACCAAUAUGGCGGACAAAAGUUAUGAUUGGAAACUUGACAAAUGAUUUGAAGUAAUAAAACGGAUUAGAAGUUGCAAAUAAGCUCCAUCGAUACAACCUCCCCCGACCAAGGAGAGGAAGGGGGAACCGUGGGAGGAUGAAGUGGAUAAUCUGGUUGAGUGGUCAGCAAAGCUGGAUGCUGAUGAAAUCGAUGAAGUGUGACCGAGGAAUGGAGGAGCAUCGAACUGAGUGACAAUGAAAAGGACAAAUAGACUGAUAUUUUAUUUGCAGACAAAGAUAAUGGAUUUUUAAAUAUAUUUUCUCUGAAGAUAAUGUUUAUAGCUAUCUUUUAUAUUGCUAUUUGUUUUUAUGCAUUCCAUGAAAAAUUAAUAAAGCACAAUUUACC